GAAAUAUAUAAGCCAAAGUUAUGAAAUUUAUACUUUUUAGUGAUAUUCUCUCUAAAAUGUAUCUUAUUUGAUUUGAAGUUAAUUUUUAUUUGUAAUAAAUAAUAUAAUAAUUUUUUUAAUGGUGGUUUAGAUAAGAUUAUGCGAUUACAAUUUUAAAAAAGAGUGUAUAUUUUAAGAAAAAAAUUAAUAUAUUUAAGAGAGAGAUUGAAAGAGAAUGAAAUACAAGGAAUAUUGAUAUCUAUUAUUAUAGAGAAAUUAUGUGUAUAAAAAAGAGUUGUCACUAGAGUAAGAAAAUAGAAAGAAAAAAAUAAUGAAAUAAAUUAUAGAAAUUAAUGUUUCAAAUAAAAAAAAUGUAACUAAUAUUCUCAUGAGGAAGAAUAAAAUAAAAGACAUAACACUUCUUCAAUUAGUUUACUUCUAUACGAGAGAGAGGAAAAUAAAAGAUCAGAAUACAUCACAAUUAAGAGAGAGAAAAAGAGAGAGAAAUAGAGAGAGUUAUGAAUUUUAUGAGUGUUUUUCAAUCUUGUUAGAUAUUUUCAAAGGUCUUCAAAUUCAUAGAACAAUGAAUCCUAGAAUUCUCUUAGUCUCUCUAAAUUUCUCUUAUAACAAAAAAUAAUAAUUAAAUAGUCACCUGAAAACCAUUUCAUAAACUAAAAUAUCACACUAAUUAACACGCAAUUUAGUGAUGUGAUAAAUUACGUCGUCAUAAAAAUGCAAGUUACAACUUAUAUGUAAAAUGAAAAACAUUAAAAUCAAAUCACAACUUAUUAGAAUUAUCAACACUUUCAUUUCUAUCACCUUUUUAUUUUUCCACCACAAAUCCACCAGACCUUAUUAUUCCACCACCACUUAUCCCUAUAGAUAGCGAUACCACAAAAUCCAUUUUCAUUUUCAUAUUUAUUACUUGGAAUUUUACUUCCCCCUCCCAUGGUUUCAAAACUUCCACAAGAAUCACCAUUUUCACCAGGCCAAACCCAACAUCAAAGAUUAUACAACAACCAUCGAUUCUCGCUACUCUAACAUCAGAUGUUAUUCUUUCUUUUCUAGAAAUUCCACAAGAACCACAUAUUUCACCGUGUCAAAUCCAGUGCUAAAAAUUCCAAAGGAAUCGCCGAUUUCUGCCAUGCCAACACCAAACGUUGAUGUGACUUUUCUUUUGGAGAAAAGGGAAGCAAAAAAAAGAAGAGGUUAAUGUUUUGUGAAAAUGAAGAGGAGAAAAGGGGAGAAAGAGGAGAGAAAGGAAGUAAAAAGAAGAAGUUAAUAUUUUGUUAAGAGCUAAAAAAACAUUGAUUAGUCACGUGAUUUUUACAUCACAAACGAAUUUUCGAAAAUUUUAAAAUUCCCUGCAAGUACAAAGACAUCAUAACAUGUGUAAAUUUGAUUAACCACGUGAUUUUCACCAUAAUAUUCCUUUUUUGUGACAUAAUUUUUACGUGGCAAAAAUACAUCACUGGAAACAUUUUUUUUAUAGUGUAUUUUACGAUGUGAAUGUCACAUUGCAACGUUCUUUUUUAGCGAUGUAUUUUUUACGUGACAAUAUCACAUUGAUGUUGACCAUUUUUUUUUAGUGUAUUAGAACUCCACCACCUCUUCCUUCAAAAGUAAUAGAGAAUCAAGUAUGUAAUGGCUAGAAACCCUAUAAAGCUAGUCAAUAUGCAAACCUUACCUGCACUACGACUCGAUGAACCGUCGCUAUUGAUCCAAUUGACUGCUAUCUCUACGACAAUGCUGAUUGUUACUGUUAAAAAACAAAAACCAAAACUCUUUUGUGAUUUUGAGACAUAUUUUAACAAUAAUAAAUUUAAAUUAUUAAUAAGUUAACAUAUUUAUAAAUUAAUUCUAAGAAAUCUAGUAUAUUAAUAAUGGUAAUACAAAAAUAUUAUUAAUAUUCAUUUAAAUAGUUCGGCUUUGAUAGAUAUGAAAUUUUGUUUUACAAAUUGUGGUUUGAUAUUUUUAAUUAAAUAUAUAUUGUUAAUAUAAUAAAAAAGUAGAUAUGACCUAGGUCUAAAUUGUAAAUUUUUGUAGUGUAUUCUCACUUCUAGAUAUUAGUAAAGCUCCGCUUGUAAAAUAUGCAAAAGUGUCAAAAAGUCAUCACUAAAAAUCAUUUCCUAUAAAAGAAUUAAAGUGUGUUUGUUACGUGUGGUUGAUGAAAAUUAACUUUGUAAUUAAGUUCAUGAUAUCGUCACUUAAUUAUUAAUCUAAGUUACUUGCACACUUCCAUUUGCUCGAAUGAAAGAAAAACAAAUCAAGAUAUAUCGUCAUUAAACAUCCACUUUAGUUGGCUAUGCUAUUAACAUCAUGCAUGAUGAAUGUAAAGGGUUAAUUACUUUUGAAUUUUGAGUAACCAGUUUUAAUUAAAGGUUUAAUGACGAAUUAUAAGGAGUGGUGGAUUUGUAAUAAAUUAAUAAUGGUGUGAGUAACACUUAUGCAUGUCUAUUUUUGUCCAUAUAAGAAACUCCAACGUAGUGAAGUGAACAAGUCGGAAACCUACACGUCAAUAACUCCAAAAGGCUGUGUUUUGGACUUUUGCUAUGUACCCUACAAGUUUACCUUUAAUUUAUAAUAACAGUUUUUUAAUCUAAUUUAGCUUUUCGUUCUUUGGAAACAACACAGGAACAAAAGGAAGUUAAUGUCCUAUAGUAAUCUAGUUUGUUUGUUCUGAAAAAUUAACCAUGGUACAUUGGUACAUGCAUUUACAUGCAUGUAACAACGUUUUCAGUGUCUUGGAAUUUUGUGGAAUUCAAAAGCUUGCCACGGAUAUUUUGUGUCCGUGUGUGGUGCCUGUGGACAAGAUGGGUAAUUGCUAGAUGAACAUGGUGAGUGAAUUGUGGUCUUAACUUUUAGGUUUGGAGAAGAUUUGGUGGAGAGUAAACCACUCAAAAUGAUUUUCUAUUAGGUAAAAUAUAUCUCAAAUUUAUUUUUGUACGAAAAAUAUUCGUUAAUUAACGUGUGUUUUAAGUGUAUUAUUGGCAGAUUUGGUAACAUAAAAUAAUAAACCACAAAUUGGUUGCUUGCAGAUUUUGUGAAAUGGUUUUAAAUAGUGAUUAAGAUUAAAAAAUAUUUAAAAAGUUAUGAACUUGUAUUACAUGUUAAUCAUUUUAUACUAUUGCAUGAGUAUACGUCAUUUCAACCAUUGAUGUAGUUUAUUUAUUUAUUUUUAUAAACAAAGAAUUGAAUCAAAGCGAGUAUAAGAGGUACUCAAUCCUAAAACAAAGGAAAAGAAACGAUUGAAUCACAAAUAGGAAGUACAAACACAAGCUAACGGAUUUGAAAACCAAGUGUGAAUAGGUGAGAGUGUGAGUGUGAAUAGGGUUAACAGGAGAAACUGGUGAGAGUGUGAAUAAAGAUGAUAGGAGAAACAGUGUCGUCAAAUAUUGGUAUGACAGAUCAUUCGAUCUUGAUGGUUAGGCCAAACGGAAGGUAGGAACGAAAGAGAAUCAUAGAAGGUCUCAGAGGUCUGAAGAAUCAAGAGGAGUUUGAUCAAAGAAGAAACCAGACAAAAAUGCAUGAGCAAGAGAAAAAGAUAAGAUUAUGGACAUCUCCUGCCCAUACGCGUAUGAGGAGUCUCAUACGCGUUUGGCCACUCAACCACACCUCCCAGGAUAUGCGUAUCACUAGAAAGGGGGAAAAGUCAUGCCUUUGCCCAUACGCGUAUGAGGCCAGCCAGUCAGCACCCCUCAUGCGCAGCCAGAGCCUUACGUGUAUGGAUCCAGCUGGGCCAUACGCCAUACCAUGGGCCAUACGCGUAUGAAGUAGUACAAAAAGGAGUCAUACACGUAUGGCACGACCCAGAUCUAAGAAAGCCCAAAUUUUAUCUAUUUAGCGAAAAAUGCGAAUUUCCAAGGGUUUGAUGAUUUUUGAGUGUGUUUUGAAGGCUAGAGCAUUGAAAAAUUCGUGGUGGAUUAAGGAUUUCGUGAACUUUAGUGAUUUAAGACAUCUUUUCUUCCAUUAAUUUGUAAUGUCUACACUUUCUGUUUUGUUUUUCUUUACUAUUAUGUGUAGCUAAACCCCCUAAUGCUAUGGUGUGUCCCUGAUUCAGAUUUAUGAUAAAUUCUGAUUUGAACCUUGUAAUGACUUUGAUUUGAUGAUAUUUAAUUUACUUGUAAUUUGUUAUUUA